rnacentral:lncRNA from 1 species
CUGGCUGAGAACAUUUCCCACGGGCUCCUUCUGCGCAAGGUCAGGAUCUGCACCCCUAGCCUUCCCUCCCAAUUGUUCACCUUCCUCUGAACCAUUCCCCGGGUUGGGUGGGGGGCGGUGGGGGGGGCGGUCUCUCGGGUUGGUGCUGCCCCCUGCUGGUAGAGCAUAGCUGGCCAAUUGACAAGUCUUAUGGAGUUGAGGGGUUGGGGGGUUGGGGGGAUGGGGGGGCGGGGGUGGGGAGAGUGAGUGAGGAGGCUGGGGAAGGGAGGCAGGGGCAGCUGGCCAGGGCGCAAUAAAAAGUCAUUUCCUUGCCCUCGACCUUGCCUGCACCUUCCAUGCCAGCCCGCCACCUCCUCUCCUCUUUUGGAGCCCCACCCCCUGCCCUUCCUCUCGACCUGCUGUGUGUGACGGAGUCUUGCUCUGUCACCCAGGCCGGAGUGCAGUGGAGCAAUCUCGGCUCACUGCAACCUCUGUCU